GUCGAACGGCAGCACGGGUGCUUGCACCUGGUGGCGAGUGGCGAACGGGUGAGUAAUACAUCGGAACAUGUCCUGUAGUGGGGGAUAGCCCGGCGAAAGCCGGAUUAAUACCGCAUACGAUCUACGGAUGAAAGCGGGGGACCUUCGGGCCUCGCGCUAUAGGGUUGGCCGAUGGCUGAUUAGCUAGUUGGUGGGGUAAAGGCCUACCAAGGCGACGAUCAGUAGCUGGUCUGAGAGGACGACCAGCCACACUGGGACUGAGACACGGCCCAGACUCCUACGGGAGGCAGCAGUGGGGAAUUUUGGACAAUGGGCGAAAGCCUGAUCCAGCAAUGCCGCGUGUGUGAAGAAGGCCUUCGGGUUGUAAAGCACUUUUGUCCGGAAAGAAAUCCUUGGCUCUAAUACAGCCGGGGGAUGACGGUACCGGAAGAAUAAGCACCGGCUAACUACGUGCCAGCA
rnacentral:rRNA from 1 species